rnacentral:miRNA from 1 species
CUGUUCAAACUAGCCUUCGCGCAGACUAUAUAAUGACAUAUAUACUAUAUAUGUCAUUAUAUAGUCUGCGCGCAGGCUAUGUUCAAACAAGUUGGCAU